AUUGAACGCUGGCGGCAGGCCUAACACAUGCAAGUCGAGCGGAUGAAGGGAGCUUGCUCCUGGAUUCAGCGGCGGACGGGUGAGUAAUGCCUAGGAAUCUGCCUGGUAGUGGGGGAUAACGUCCGGAAACGGGCGCUAAUACCGCAUACGUCCUGAGGGAGAAAGUGGGGGAUCUUCGGACCUCACGCGAUCAGAUGAGCCUAGGUCGGAUUAGCUAGUUGGUGGGGUAAAGGCCUACCAAGGCGACGAUCCGUAACUGGUCUGAGAGGAUGAUCAGUCACACUGGAACUGAGACACGGUCCAGACUCCUACGGGAGGCAGCAGUGGGGAAUAUUGGACAAUGGGCGAAAGCCUGAUCCAGCCAUGCCGCGUGUGUGAAGAAGGUCUUCGGAUUGUAAAGCACUUUAAGUUGGGAGGAAGGGCAGUAAGUUAAUACCUUGCUGUUUUGACGUUACCAACAGAAUAAGCACCGGCUAACUUUGUG
rnacentral:rRNA from 1 species